GAAAGCGUGCCCGAAAGUUAGGGUUCUCCUUGAUAGGGAGGCUUAUAGAGGUUCAAACCCUCUCGCUUUCUCUA
rnacentral:tRNA from 1 species